rnacentral:tRNA from 1 species
GCGUCCGUAGCUCAGUUGGAUAGAGCGCUGCCCUCCGGAGGCAGAGGUCUCAGGUUCGAAUCCUGCCGGGCGCACCA